rnacentral:rRNA from 1 species
GAUGAACGCUAGCUACAGGCUUAACACAUGCAAGUCGAGGGGCAGCAUGCUGAUAGCUUGCUAUCAGUGAUGGCGACCGGCGCACGGGUGAGUAACGCGUAUCCAACCUGCCUGUCACUCAGGAAUAGCCCGGUGAAAACCGGAUUAAGUCCUGAUGAUAUCAUUAGAGGGCAUCUGACGAUGAUUAAAGGUUACGGUGACAGAUGGGGAUGCGUCUGAUUAGCUUGUUGGCGGGGUAACGGCCCACCAAGGCAACGAUCAGUAGGGGUUCUGAGAGGAAGGUCCCCCCANACUGGAACUGAGACACGGUCCAGACUCCUACGGGAGGCAGCAGUGAGGAUAUUGGUCAAUGGCCGAGAGGCUGAACCAGCCAAGUAGCGUGAAGGAUGAAGGUUC